GAGGAGCAUGGAUGGUGUGCCUGGCUGACUGAGGGAGCUACAGGACCCUGGAGAGAGCAGUGCUGACAGAGGCCAAGAGGAACACAAAGGAGUUCUGGAUUGGCUGCUGAGACUCAACCAGGACAAGACAUCGAGACUGUGUGACUCAGCGAAGACCCACAUGCACUGAGAUGGGGCGGUUGUGAGAGAUGAGUGCACCCCUUACAAUGAAAUUAUACAUUAGUUGACAAAGAUCGUGGUUUAGAAGCUUUUUUUAUCUAUGUGGAUACACAGCGACUAGCACAACGGGGUCCUCAUCCAGGGGGCCUCAAGGCUACCUGGACCUGGGGCUUGGCCAUGCAGGCGUAAGCAUGGCUAAUGCCCACUUACUCCCUCGGUGGAGUGGAUGGUUGGGGAAAGGAUGGAGACUUAGCUUCACCUUGUUACACGCUGGCCAACAUAGCUGAGCCAGCGCCGGGCGCAUCCCAAGAUGGCUGCUGGGUUUGGCCAACAGCAAAUGGAUGACACCUCCUGUUUCGCUCUGCCUUGGUGGCGGGAGGGGGAGUUUCCCCAGGUGGCGUUUACUCCCCAUCCCUAGCGCUGAUCGGUGCCAAAAGGUACAGUCUGGCCCGUCACUUGGUGGUCCUCUCAGCCUCAUUUCAGCCCUAACAGAGUUACUGCAGGCAAGCCACCCGGACUCUACCUCAAGAAUGAAAGUCGUUGGGUCCAAAGGAGACCAGCCAUGAAAGAGUUAAGGGGAAAGAGCUUAUUGGCUUGUUAUCUUAAUACAACGGCACCAUUAACAUCUGACGUUUACCACCAGCAGGCGUUCUAAUACGGCGAUAUUUGCAGUAUUCCUUGUCUGGGUAUAGGAAAUACCGCACAUACCAAAGGGGCAGGAAAUGUCAAGAUAGUAAUGGCAAGUGUCUUCCGAUCAAUUUUACUUUCAUGCCCUGCUUUUAUAUUGAAUAUAUUGGGCCAAGUCCUCAGUUGGGGCAAGCAGGCACAGCUCCUUUGCAGUCAUUCUAUGAAACCAUUAUUGGUGAGAGAUCGUUUGGGCCAGUGGCUAAGGUGACGGAUUAGGGCUUAGAAACCCUUGAUUGUAAGCCUGACUCCACUGGUGACCUUGGGGGAAAAUCACAUUGUCUCUUUCCCCAGUGCCACCACGCUUUGUCUGUUCAGUAUUUUAAAAUAAUCUAGUCUGCCAUGCAUGACACAGGCCACAGAACUUCCCUGAAUUCAUUCCUGGUUGAACAAGAGCAGAUCUUUUAGAAAACAGCCGAUGGAGAUCUAAAACUUGCCAGUGAUGGCAAACCCAGGAGAGCCCUUGGUAAAUUGUUCCAGGAAUUAAUUACCCUCACUGUUGCAGGUGCAUCAGUAACACUGGUUUUAUGUAAUGGGUUCACCCAAAUUCGGUCCACGUACCCCCAAAAUACUCUGUUUACAAAGUGUGGAUGUGCAUCGUUCAGUAGCCUGUUUCUUUAACACAGGAAUUUAUUGCGGGGGAGGGCGCCAAAAAAACCCCACACAAUUGUUUUAAAGCAAUGUGUGCAUGUCAUGAAACUGUUCUUUCAUUCCUGGCUGGCUGGCUUCUGCUCUGGUUAUUAUGCUGCUGUCUUGUACUGUGUGAGUCUGUGUGUUUCACUAACCAUGGGGUGUUGCAACCGGGCUACUUCUGACCAAUAU